AGCAUCAGGCUGGUGAGAUGGGGGAAGAAAUGUGAACGGUAUAAACUCUAAAGUGCUGUUCCAAUACCCAGGCAUCAGGAAGAACCUGAGAAAGCCUCUGUGCAGGGAGCCGGGAGCAGAGAUGACCAAGAUCCAGUCUCUGACCUCAAGGAGCUCAUGGGCUAGUCGGGGAGACAGACCCCCAAACAGACAACCGCGGUAUUUGCUAAAAGCCGUAAUGGAGGCAUGUGCAUCCUGUGUCGAAGCAGAAGAGAACCCGUCCAGCUCUGGGAGGGGCUGGGGAGGCUGCACGUGGAAGGGCUUUUGAGCAGCAUCUUUAAAAAAAUGUUAAUAAUGUAUUUUAUUGAACCCAAUAUUUCAAA
rnacentral:lncRNA from 1 species